GCUAAGAUUACAGGUGUGAGCCAUGGCCACCUGGCCAAUAAAUGUUAUUUCUAAAAGAUGACGAAGCAAGAGAAGAACAUAAACACAAAUCUGCAAAUCUACUUAGACUGAACAUAUCAUAUGAGGUUUGGCUCUAGCUUCUCAGUACACUAAUUGCUCUGCUCAACCUACAAGAAGCCAGGUACACUGGAUUUCAAUAUGCCUACCUCAUGGUAUCUUCUACCAAUCCAGAGCCCUUAACAAAACAAGUCUCUAUCUGAGACAGUAGGGAAAACUUUAUCUCUGUUAGCCAGCUCUCAUUCCAAAGGGGUCUGAUAUUUAAAACUGUCUUUCUCCCAAAUAUUUUAACAGCAUGUGAGAACUUUUGGCUGAUGAAUACAAGAUACGCUCAUUCAUUCUCUUCAUUGCUAUGAAAUCAGUUUUUCCACAACCUCCUGCAGAACCUCAACACAUCACUAGGUGGCAACAUCCCUACACCAUAUCGGUUUAGAAACCACCUUUAGGAGGAGCAGCAAAACACGCGGCAUCCCAGUAUGAUUUUUCUAAAUAAAGUUUACAAUCUUUGAGGCCUGGCUGACUCAUGGGACAACUAGGACAAGAAACAAAGACAAAGAACACACACCUGACUGGACAGAGAUAAACCAAGAGCUGAGAGUUUUGGAAACAAGGCUGGAGCUGAGGAAAAGGACUGGGAACACGAACCUGUACAAACAACAAACUCUUACAACAGAAAACAAGCCACUCCUGGCCGUCAAGAAACCCACAAAUCUCAGAAGCAAAAGCAAAACAAAUGAAAAUACAAACCAAAUAAUGUCUAUUACCUUCAUGCCUGUUGGGUCCCAAUAAAGGAAUCAUUCCAAUAAA